rnacentral:rRNA from 1 species
AGAGGUUUGAUCAUGGGCUCAGAGCGAACGUUAGCGGCGGGCCUAACACAUGCAAGUCGGACGAGAAAAUCCCUUCGGGGGUGAGUAAAGUGGCGCACGGGUGAGGAACGCGUAAGUAAUCUACCCUCGGGCGGGGGACAACACUCCGAAAGGAAUGCUAAUACCGCGUAAGACCACGCUCACUAAGGUGAGAGGGGUAAAAGGUGCGCCUCUUCUUGAAAGCUACCGCCAGAGGAUGAGCCUGCGUCCCAUCAGCUUGUUGGUAAGGUAACGGCUUACCAAGGCUAAGACGGGUAGCUGGUCUGAGAGGAUGAUCAGCCACACUGGCACUGGAACACGGGCCAGACUCCUACGGGAGGCAGCAGUGAGGAAUAUUGGGCAAUGGGCGCAAGCCUGACCCAGCCACGCCGCGUGAGUGAUGAAGGCCUUCGGGUCGUAACAGCUCUGUGGGGAGGGACGAAAAACUUCC